GUACUCUUGGCCGAGUGGUUAUGGCGCCGCAUUUAAGUACAGUGCGGACAUGUUUCCGAGCAUGAUUCCGCACUAUAAAUCUGCGGUGGGGCAACCCGCGCGAGUUCGAACCUCGUAGAGUACA